rnacentral:rRNA from 2 species
AAAUUGAAGAGUUUGAUCAUGGCUCAGAUUGAACGCUGGCGGCAGGCCUAACACAUGCAAGUCGAGCGGUAGCACAGAGAGCUUGCUCUCGGGUGACGAGCGGCGGACGGGUGAGUAAUGUCUGGGAAACUGCCUGAUGGAGGGGGAUAACUACUGGAAACGGUAGCUAAUACCGCAUAACGUCGCAAGACCAAAGUGGGGGACCUUCGGGCCUCAUGCCAUCAGAUGUGCCCAGAUGGGAUUAGCUGGUAGGUGGGGUAACGGCUCACCUAGGCGACGAUCCCUAGCUGGUCUGAGAGGAUGACCAGCCACACUGGAACUGAGACACGGUCCAGACUCCUACGGGAGGCAGCAGUGGGGAAUAUUGCACAAUGGGCGCAAGCCUGAUGCAGCCAUGCCGCGUGUGUGAAGAAGGCCUUCGGGUUGUAAAGCACUUUCAGCGGGGAGGAAGGCGGUGAGGUUAAUAACCUCAUCGAUUGACGUUACCCGCAGAAGAAGCACCGGCUAACUCCGUGCCAGCAGCCGCGGUAAUACGGAGGGUGCAAGCGUUAAUCGGAAUUACUGGGCGUAAAGCGCACGCAGGCGGUCUGUCAAGUCGGAUGUGAAAUCCCCGGGCUCAACCUGGGAACUGCAUUCGAAACUGGCAGGCUAGAGUCUUGUAGAGGGGGGUAGAAUUCCAGGUGUAGCGGUGAAAUGCGUAGAGAUCUGGAGGAAUACCGGUGGCGAAGGCGGCCCCCUGGACAAAGACUGACGCUCAGGUGCGAAAGCGUGGGGAGCAAACAGGAUUAGAUACCCUGGUAGUCCACGCUGUAAACGAUGUCGAUUUGGAGGUUGUGCCCUUGAGGCGUGGCUUCCGGAGCUAACGCGUUAAAUCGACCGCCUGGGGAGUACGGCCGCAAGGUUAAAACUCAAAUGAAUUGACGGGGGCCCGCACAAGCGGUGGAGCAUGUGGUUUAAUUCGAUGCAACGCGAAGAACCUUACCUGGUCUUGACAUCCACAGAACUUUCCAGAGAUGGAUUGGUGCCUUCGGGAACUGUGAGACAGGUGCUGCAUGGCUGUCGUCAGCUCGUGUUGUGAAAUGUUGGGUUAAGUCCCGCAACGAGCGCAACCCUUAUCCUUUGUUGCCAGCGGUUAGGCCGGGAACUCAAAGGAGACUGCCAGUGAUAAACUGGAGGAAGGUGGGGAUGACGUCAAGUCAUCAUGGCCCUUACGACCAGGGCUACACACGUGCUACAAUGGCAUAUACAAAGAGAAGCGACCUCGCGAGAGCAAGCGGACCUCAUAAAGUAUGUCGUAGUCCGGAUUGGAGUCUGCAACUCGACUCCAUGAAGUCGGAAUCGCUAGUAAUCGUAGAUCAGAAUGCUACGGUGAAUACGUUCCCGGGCCUUGUACACACCGCCCGUCACACCAUGGGAGUGGGUUGCAAAAGAAGUAGGUAGCUUAACCUUCGGGAGGGCGCUUACCACUUUGUGAUUCAUGACUGGGGUGAAGUCGUAACAAGGUAACCGUAGGGGAACCUGCGGUUGGAUCACCUCCUUA